rnacentral:tRNA from 1 species
GGGUGAUUAGCUCAGCUGGGAGAGCACCUCCCUUACAAGGAGGGGGUCGGCGGUUCGACUCCGUCAUCACCCACCA